rnacentral:rRNA from 1 species
UACGGAGGGGGCUAGCGUUGUUCGGAAUUACUGGGCGUAAAGCGCACGUAGGCGGCUUUGUAAGUUAGAGGUGAAAGCCCAGGGCUCAACCCUGGAAUUGCCUUUAAGACUGCAUCGCUUGAACAUCGGAGAGGUAAGUGGAAUUCCGAGUGUAGAGGUGAAAUUCGUAGAUAUUCGGAAGAACACCAGUGGCGAAGGCGACUCACUGGACGACUGUUGACGCUGAGGUGCGAAAGCGUGGGGAGCAAACAGG